GGGAACGUGGCUCAGUGGUAGAGCGCUUGCCUUGUAUGCAUGAGGCCCUGGG
rnacentral:tRNA from 1 species